rnacentral:rRNA from 1 species
UGGGGAAUAUUGCGCAAUGGGGGGAACCCUGACGCAGCCAUGCCGCGUGAAUGAAGAAGGCCUUAGGGUUGUAAAGUUCCUUCGGUAUUGAGGAAGGUUGAUGUGUUAAUAGCACAUCAAAUUGACGUUAAAUACAGAAGAAGCACCGGCUAACUCCGUGCCAGCAGCCGCGGUAAUACGGAGGGUGCGAGCGUUAAUCGGAAUAACUGGGCGCAAAGGGCACGCAGGCGGUUAUUUAAGUGAGGUGUGAAAGCCCCGGGCUUAACCUGGGAAUUGCAUUUCAGACUGGGUAACUAGAGUACUUUAGGGAGGGGUAGAAUUCCACGUGUAGCGGUGAAAUGCGUAGAGAUGUGGAGGAAUACCGAAGGCGAAGGCAGCCCCUUGGGAAUGUACUGACGCUCAUGUGCGAAAGCGUGGGGAGCAAACAGGAUUAGAUACCCUGGUAGUCCACGCUGUAAACGCUGUCGAUUUGGGGGUUGGGGUUUAACUCUGGCGCCCGUAGCUAACGUGAUAAAUCGACCGCCUGGGGAGUACGGCCGCAAGGUUA